rnacentral:misc_RNA from 1 species
UAUACAUGUUCGAAAAGAGGUUAGUUGCCGGUAGAGCUAGACAAAAUGAAACAGCUCUUGAGUCCCAAGACAGCCCGACACGCACGCCUUUUUCGGCUGGCAAACAGGCUAGCGGGGCAGAAAGGAGCGCCUGAAAGCGAUGGGGAGAGGCUGUCAUGGGUGAACUCCCACGUAAAGCGUACUCAAGAUAUGGAGCUUUCGAGGGAGGAGGAAGCGUUGCGCGAACGGAUAAUGCCUUUAGAAGUAGGUGAUAAUGCAGUCGUUAGCAACAGCCAGGCAACGCACGGUAAUCUUUUCCAUUUUCGCGAGUACCCAAUGUAUCCUGGAGAGUAUGUUCCUGCUGGCCACAACACCCUUUCGUCACUGAGAGACGAGCUGCGAAGCGACUUGACUGCACAAUCUCUCAAGGAGGCGUGGAUGCGCGUCAGCGGAGGAAUGUACUUCAAAUCGAUUGAUGACUACUAUGCCUCUGUAGACGGGUUAGAUCAGGAGCAAUUGGGCGAGAUUGUGUCAGCCUUACUCCCGGACUUGCGCAAGUAUGAGGCACAGGCGCUGGUGACCAAGGUUCUCGAGUCACUUAGCAAGCCGGCCGAUUCCCCCUCGCGUCAGCUGAGCAGGACGAUCACUGCAGAUGCGGUCGGCCUAGAUAACGCACCUGGUCAUUACACAAACUUCCUCGAAUGGAUGGGUCGCAUGACAGAAACAAAGGCCUUCAAAACGGAGCACGCUCUUUUCGAGUUUAGCCGGCGGAAAUUCAAUCGCGAGGAUGUGCGCGUAAUGUUUGAAAACUACAACCUGAUGAGCAAGGCCACUCUCGAGGCCGACAGCUCCGAUAGCUACAGUCACUUCUACGCUGUGCUUCAUGACUUUUCGCGUAAGGUUGCCGGCGAAGAUACACGACAUCAGAUAGGUGUGCGUAUCGACCCAGCUGAGGUGGAUCCCGAAACAGGUAUUGCAGUUGGUCACGGCCGCGCAGAUGGGCAGAAGUACAUGUUCACAGCUCUGAUCCGAGAGAACCGUGAUCACAACGGUUCCGUCACUCUUCUCGGAAAGCCACUUUCUGUUGCAUUCGAUGACAAGUCCUGGCUGAUGGAAAUGGUGCUAAUGCCAUUCGAUGAGGCAAAGCUGGACUUCCGCGACUUUGACGUGAACCUCAUCUCCGAAGGCAAGGCGAUGCCUUCUUUUGCAAAUGAGAUCGCUGCUUUUGCUUGCAGGAUGGCGGUGGCCAAUGCGAUAACGAAGCUUCUUCCGCUAGCACGCAUUCCUUUGAAAAAGGCUGGCUUGCUCUCUGUGGAUCGCCGAAGGGAGCCAGGUCAAUUCCCAGGUUUCGUGGACGGAAAGAAGAACAAGAGGAAGUUUGCGAAGCGUUAGGAUCGUAGGCGUCUUGUUAGUUGUAAUCCCGUUCAAGAC